UGGACCAUCCUUGUGUCUCCUUCUUAGCAUCCUUCAUAACCCAAAUAUAUUCCAUGUCAUUCGCGCAAAACACGAAUCCUAACUUCCCUUGGUAGUUUACCAGAGUUGAAAUAUCAUCUCUACUGGGAAUUCAACAUGAUAAAAAAAUUCAGACCUGAUAUCAAAACUCAUCAAUUUAUAUCUAGAGGUAGAGUUAUAUAUGUUGUAGUAGUUUCCCCUGGAUAAUAAAUCAAUGUGUCAUCCCUGGUAAGUGUAAAGGACUGUCUUGUGGUAGGGUUAUAUACAACUACCUUAAAACCAGACAAACAACACAUCAAACCGUAAACAUACUGCGCCAUUCUCCCAGGGAUUGAUAGUACUGCUUCUAUGUCCGUAUUUGGAGGAUAAGUAGACGAUAAGCCUAAGAAACAUUCCACGUAAGGGCCUGAAUCGAAGCCGAAGAUGAAAUGGGCAUCAUGAGGAGGCUGAGUCAAAAAUCGAGUCACUAUCGAUUCUAUGAAGUCUCUACGACUGCUGAUAAUGGAUGACCACAGCUUCGAGACAGAUUUGAACCUCAAUAGUGCGAUUUCGCCGGGAGUGUUUUUAGUCACUCCACUGUCAGUAUUCAGAGGGAUAUCGAUAACUCCGCCGUGAAGAAGUAGUGUCGGCGAGGGUGAGGUCUCGUUGCUAUUCUCUUUGCGUCCUCUCGUCAUCAUCUCUGUUUUGUCAAACCUUAGACUAAUGAACGAGGGCUCUCUAUAUAGUAUAUAGUAUAUAGAGUUUAUUGCAAAUAAGGCAUUUGUCUUAGAUAUAUAUUUUAUUUUAGGCACUUUUAAAAUGAUCUUUAGAUUUAGGCACUUCUUUCCUGGGGAAAGUUGUUUUUACCCUUACAGAGAGAUGAUGUUGCUCUUUCUUUGUUGAUGAACUUUUACGUUUUACACUAGAAAUCAAAAAUACUUGCGACCAACACCAACAACUUUGGAGUCAUUGAUUACAGAGUGAUGUCAGCGACGAUUGGAAAUUCAGACGAUUAACAAUUGGUCCUCAUGAGAUGUGAAUGCGAUCUAGAUUUUUAACAUCCCACAUUUUGAGAUCUGGAAAAAACAACAAGAAACAAAAAAGUCCCACGAUUUGGUAUUACGAUUUGCACGUUUUUUUGUUCAGUGAUUUUUGUGCAGGUUAAGGAACUCAAGAAGUGAUUGAUACUUUGUUGAUUGCUCAAUUGAUGUUCAUAAUCAUGUCUACAAGUACAUUGAUUUUUGUUCAUGUUAAUGGUGUUUGAUGAUAAUGAGGAUGGUUGUAGUGUUGUGUUAUUGUGUGUAUGUAAGAAUUGUAGACUGUAUAUUUGACGGUUUGGGUUUACAAGUCUAAUUCUAGGGUAUAGCGUUUACCAUUGACGUCGUUCGUUACCCCUCGCCGUCAAAGCCGUGAACCACCACCAAAUCUUUGUGCUACCGUCAAAGCUUCACGUCUACCGUCGAAGCUGCAAAUCCACUAUCUAAGCCAUAUAUCUCUGAAUGUCAAAAGAAACUUAAAAUUGAAUCAGAGAUGGGGAUGCAUUUUUUAGAAGAUAAACGCAUUCUUUUCACCUCAUUCUCAACUCCAGCUCAUAGUUUAAGGGCAAAAAUGUCCGUAACAAUGAAAAUUGGAGUUAUUAUAUGCUUUUACUGUUGUUGUUUUUUACGGCAAAAUAAGGUCAUCCAUUUAAGCUAAAAACGGGUCGGUUUUCUUCGAGAGAAAACUAGUUCGGAGUAGAAGAACUUACAUGGGAAAAAAUAGAAUCUCGUGCUCUUGCCUUCUUACCAAGACAAUCAGCACGGACAUUGUUUAGAGUCUCUGUUUUGAAAGAAAUGUUUUCAAAAUGCUUGUUUAGAAUA
rnacentral:sRNA from 1 species